rnacentral:rRNA from 1 species
UACGUAGGGUCCGAGCGUUGUCCGGAAUUAUUGGGCGUAAAGAGCUCGUAGGCGGUCCGUUAAGUCGGAAGUGAAAUCUCAAGGCUCAACCUUGAAAUCGCUUUCGAUACUGGCGGACUUGAGGCAGGUAGGGGAAGGUGGAAUUCCUGGUGUAGCGGUGAAAUGCGCAGAUAUCAGGAGGAACACCGGUGGCGAAGGCGGCCUUCUGGGCCUGUUCUGACGCUGAGGAGCGAAAGUGUGGGGAGCAAACAGG